CUGGUUUUAAGUGAAGAGACAGGCAAUGGGAUGGGUAUGGAAGCAGAGUAACAUAUGAGCAAAGUAUUCACAAGUCUCUUUUGCAGCAACAAGGACAAAGAAGUCAAACUUUGGAAUCAGGUUUUGACAGAGUAUGCAGAUGAGUGAGCAGCCCGGUUUUCUGACUUCCAUCCAAGGUUGGCCUGUAGAGUUGAAGCCAAUAAGGACUAAGUUCAGGACAAAAGGCUCUGAGGGUUAGCUGUAAGAUCAACAAGCUACCUAUGACUAAAUAUCUCCGGAAAUCAAACAGCCAGGCUGCCAACCUCGCUUGAACCAGAAACUCCAAAUUAUUAUGAGCCCCAAAUGGUCAACGGGACGAGAUCAGGACCAGAUCCGAAAAUGAACUGGAAGUAUUAUUUAUUAAACUCUGUAAUGAUUUAUGAA